CGGAGGGUGCGAGCGUUGUUCGGAAUUACUGGGCGUAAAGCGCGUGCAGGUGGAUCUUGUAAGUCCGAAGUGAAAUCUCACUGCUCAACGGUGAGACUGCUUUGGAUACUGCAGAUCUGGAGACCGGUAGAGACUGGUAGAAUUGCAGGUGUAGCGGUGGAAUGCGUAGAGAUCUGCAAGAAUACCCGUGGCGAAGGCGGCCAGUUGGGCCGGUUCUGACGCUGAGGCGCGAAAGCGUGGGGAGCAAACAGGAUUAGAUACCCUGGUAGUCCACGCCGUAAACGAUGGGCACUAGGUGCUGGGGGGAGCGACCCCUUCAGUGCCGUAGCUAACGCGUUAAGUGCCCCGCCUGGGGAGUACGGCCGCAAGGCUG
rnacentral:rRNA from 1 species